AGCCACACCGCGCUGUGGGAGUAAGAUGGCGGGGAAGAAAAAUGUUUUGUCGUCUCUUGCAAUUUAUGCGGAAUAUUCAGACCCUGAAUCUGAUGGCGAAACUGGAGUCGACGCUGUAGGCGGAGCGACUGAGGAGAAAGGUGGUUUGGUAUCUGACGCCUAUGGAGAAGAUGACUUCUCUCGCCCAGGGGGUGAUGAGGAUGGUUAUGAAGAAGAGGAGGACGAGAACAGUAAGCAGUCGGAAGAUGACGAUUCAGAGACUGAAAAACCUGAGGCUGAUGACCCAAAGGAUAACACAGAAGCAGAGAAGCGGGAUCCCCAGGAAUUAGUGGCCUCCUUUUCUGAAAGGGUUCGCAACAUGUCACCCGAUGAAAUCAAGAUCCCACCAGAACCGCCUGGCAGAUGUUCAAAUCACCUACAAGAUAAGAUCCAGAAGCUCUACGAGCGGAAGAUAAAGGAGGGGAUGGAUAUGAACUACAUCAUCCAGAGGAAGAAGGAGUUCCGCAACCCCAGCAUCUACGAGAAACUGAUCCAGUUCUGUGCCAUUGAUGAGCUGGGCACCAACUACCCAAAGGAUAUGUUCGAUCCCCACGGCUGGUCUGAAGACUCCUACUAUGAGGCAUUAGCCAAGGCCCAGAAGAUUGAAAUGGACAAAUUAGAAAAGGCCAAAAAGGAGCGAACCAAAAGCCCUGGUGGCUUUGUCUCUUAGAGUUCUUUGAUGCCUCCCCAGCCUGAUCAGAAGUUGGUCUUCCUUCUGAGAGUCCCACAUAAGCUGCCACGUUGGACACCAAGCGCCACUUAUGUAGCAGUGUCAUCAGAGGGACUCUUUCAGGAGCUUCAGAUCCCCAGACUGUUAGCUGGACAUCAGGACACCUCCUCCUCCUAUUGAGUUUGUAACGGGCACCAAGAAAGGCACCACGACCAAUGCCACGGCCACCAGCACCAGUACUGCCAGCACAGCUGUCGCAGAUGCCCAGAAGAGGAAGAGCAAGUGGGACUCUGCCAUCCCCGUGACGACAAUAGCACAGCCCACCAUCCUCACCACCACAGCCACCCUGCCAGCAGUGGUCACUGUCACCACUAGUGCCAGUGGCUCCAAGACCACCGUCAUCUCUGCUGUGGGCACCAUCGUGAAGAAGGCCAAGCAGUGACCAGAGGAUGCCCCAGGACUGGCAGUGACCAGAGGAUACCCCAGGCCUGGCAGGACUACAGUCCAGUAGCUUCCACCCACUGGGAGGUGCCACUCUGUGUGUUUAGGACUGAGAUGCACUCCCCACAUGCCUUCCAAGAGGAGCCUCUGUGACAUUCCAGCCGGAAGGACAUUACAGCAGAGGCAAUGGUGUGCACUGGACAGGGUUUGUCCAGACACCUCUUGGGUUUCACCCAAUUAAAAGUACUGCUUCUUGGAUCCUGGCAUGUCAGGUGGACUGGCCUCUCCCAUGCUGUGUUCGGGCAAACCUGAAGUUCAGGUGCCUCUCGCGACAGUCAAGAUGUUGCUCAGGAUGAACAGUGCUUGACAGGCCAUAGGGGUGCUCAGAGGGGCAGCCCAGGGAGCAACCGUGCUCAUUCCCAGUGUAUGCCCAGGGCAUGGGCAGGUGGGAGCUCAAGGAGGGGCCAGACACAUCCUUUCCUGUUGUCUGUUUUCCUAUUUUCCUGAUCCUCAACAAUUCACAACAAUUCUCAGGCAAUAGCAGAGGCCGCUGCUCUCUUGGGUGCAGUUAAACACUCCCUACAGUGCUUCUGAUACACACCCAGGCUUUUGAAAUCAGGCCAGAUAACAGAGGGCUGGGAUGUGAUUCCCAACCUGCCCAGGGCAGGAGCAAAGUGUGGGCACCUGGCCAAGGCCGCCCCAGCCCCUCAGUGCCCAGUGAGUGUGGCCAGCAGGAUCCACGCAGUGGUAGAGAUGAAUCACCUCCUGCUCUGGCCAGGGCAGCGGCUCAUUGUUUAUGUAAAGGCUGUGCUCGUGGGAAGGUCUCUGCCACCCCACCCUUCCUAUGUCGUUAUCUCUGCCCAGCAGCAGCCCCUGGGUAGCACCAGUGGCCACUCUUAGGGCCAGGAUCCACCAGCCCAGCGCCAGACAGUGGGAAGACUUGUCUUUUGUGCCCCCUGGCAGCUCUCCUUCACACUCAGCGGAAGGGCUGAGUGUCAAAAGAGGAAGUGGGGCUGUGAAGGGUCCCCAUGCUUUCGUGGGACCAACAGAGACACAGCCUCUGACGUUGUGUUUGGUAUUUGUGUGACCUGGGGACUGACACGCUGCCCAUGAAAUCUCUAAAAUGAAAACCCAGUCACUGUUCCUUUCUGUCCUUGGGUGCACUCUGUGUCCUGAGCAUCUCUGGAAAGGUCUACCCUGCAGGGGGCUCAGGGCACCCAGGUCUGAGUAGGCAGCUCAGGAGAUAGGAGGGCACCAGCACCUUGGCUCUGGAGUCCAGUCUGCAGCAGCCCUGAACCAGUCCUGAGGAGCCUCAGUAACAAUUCCUGCGGGUGUUGGGAGGGGUCUAAGAUGGUGAAGCAGGAGCUUUGCAAAGCUGAUAUGAGAUCAGCCACAUCCGACCAAGAACCAAUUAGAUAGGGUCUCAUGGAGCCGAGGCUUUCAACAUCUGACCCUCCUGCCCCUUCUUCCCAAGGGCUGGGAUUACGGACAUGAAUCGUCACACUUAGUUUAUAUGGUGUGCACGAUUGAAUCCAGGACUUCCUGCAUGCUAGGCAAACGCCACUUCUGUCAGGAAUGUGUGGGGAUGGGAUGCUGAGGACUGGGCUGUUCACUGGGCGUCUCCAGACUGUCACUGCUGCCAGUUGACCGCCUUCUUUUCUGUAGCUCAGGAUCCAGGCUGAGGGAUUGCAGCAGCCCACGUUUGGUGUGUGUCCUCCAGUUACCCUAUCAGCGGAGUCCUUCAGGGCCAUGCUCAGAAGCUGGGUAAUCCCCACAGGUUUGUCUGGAGGCUUGCCUGCUGAGAUUGAGCGCCAACCAUCACAGAGUGGUGGGUGCUUCUGCCUCUUGGACUGUGGUCACCUGACUCGGUUCGACACCCCUUGUCCCAGGUUCACUCUGACUGGAUUCCUGAGUCUUGGCUUGAGUAAGGCCUACCACUGUGCUGUAGGCCAAGCGAUAGGCAGGCCACUAUUUUGUGCUUUGCACUUUUAUAUGUUAGGGUGCUUGGGAUCAAACCCGGGCUUCCUGUUCUACCACUGAGCCAAUUCCAGGUUCCAGACCCUUCUGAAGAGGAAAGGUGUUGCCCAGACUAGCCUCAAAUGAGUCUCUUGCCCCUGCCUACCAAGGGCUGGAAUUAUAGGUGUAAAUGCAUACGAGGCUUGGUUUUGUUUGGUUUCAGCAGGGGGUGGUAAGGAAUCAAGACAGAAUUUCUCUAUGUAAUGGCCCUGGUUGUCCUGGAACUCACUGUGUAGACCAGGCUGGCAUUGAACUAACAGGAGUUCCUCCUGAGUCUGCCUCCCAAGUGCUGGGAUUAAAGCUGUGCACCACCA